UCUGUGCAUUGAAAAGUCGUUUGGACUUGUUAUGACUUGGUUUCAUGACUAGAUGCCUCAACUCUAAAUGGCUAUAAAGAUUCCUUUCAACUGACCAGAAGAGGGAAGCAGAGGACCUGGGAUGGUAUCUGAGACCCCUGGUGGGGAAUAAACACAAGAUCAGGCUGCAGCAGCCUGUGAACUUGCCUUGAAAGGAUCAUCUCCCAAGCACAGAGAUCCAGCCACAUCUCAGCCACAUUUUCUGCAGAACACAAGAUCCCUUGUUGGCGGCCAUCACCUCACACCUUUAAGUAGUUCCUUUAAGUCGUUCCAUAGGAAACAGGUUUCCCUAAAGUGGAGGAGUGUGAGCCUUUGUCAAAAAGAGACUAAUGGACACGACAGAGGCAAUGAGGCACAGCCAGCGUAGGGACAGACCGGAGUCUCGCAACUCCAAGAGCUGAGCCUCCUCCUGGUUGUCUUGGCUCCUUCUAAUCCCUGUGGGCACUGCUCAGCUGGACUCUAAGUGGAGCGGCCAAAGUGUUGGCCACAACCUGUCUUAAAAUGGCAGAACUGUUAACACCAGAGUUGCUUGUCUCUGGUGACAUGGGGUUCUUUGGGGAUAGGAUUGGAUUUGGGCCCAGGUUCUACACACCAAAUCCCUUCUUGCCAGAGCAAUGUUCUCACCCAGGGGCCCCACAAGAGAGAAACCAUGGUCACAGAACAGGGCCAGAUGAUGAGAAAAGAUGAAAGUGUGCCGGGGACAGGAGAGAGAAAUGAGUUUCUCCUAAAGAUCUAGAACAGAGAUGGGAUGAUCAACUCAUACUCCUGAUGGUGGAAGUGUGUGCUUCAGUCCACUGACGGUGCCUGGAAUUUGCUAACCCCAAGCCAGUUGUGCAUGAAUGUCCUGACUUGGCAAUGCCUGCCCCACACAGGCAACGUGCAUUUGGGCCGCAUGCUCAUCAUUUAACAUUCUGGGGACUCAGCUUAAUAGGUUUGUGAUUCCAAACACAUAAAUGA